rnacentral:rRNA from 1 species
CCGGUUGAUCCCGCCGGACCCGACUGCUAUCAGAGUGGGACUAAGCCAUGCGAGUCAACGCCGAAAGGCGUGGCAUACGGCUCAGUAACGCGUAGUCAACAUGCCCAAAGGACGUGGAUAACCUCGGGAAACUGAGGAUAAACCGCGAUAGGCCAAGGUUUCUGGAAUGAGCCAUGGCCGAAAUCUACAUGGCCUUUGGAUUGGACUGCGGCCGAUCAGGCUGUUGGUGAGGUAAUGGCCCACCAAACCUAUAACCGGUACGGGCUUUGAGAGAAGGAGCCCGGAGAUGGGCACUGAGACAAGGGCCCAGGCCCUAUGGGGCGCAGCAGGCGCGAAAAUUCUGCAAUAGGCGAAAGCUUGACAGAGUUACUCUGAGUGAUGCCCGCUAAGGGCAUCUUUUGGCACCUCUAAAAAUGGUGCAGAAUAAGGGGUGGGCAAGUCUGGUGUCAGCCGCCGCGGUAAUACCAGCACCCCGAGUGGUCGGGACGAUUAUUGGGCCUAAAGCAUCCGUAGCUUGUUCUGCAAGUCUUCCGUUAAAUCCACCUGCUCAACAGAUGGGCUGCGGGAGAUACUACAGGGCUAGGAGGCGGGAGGGGCAAGCGGUACUCAGUGGGUAGGGGUAAAAUCCUCUGAUCCACUGAAGACCACCAGUGGCGAAGGCGGCUUGCCAGAACGCGCUCGACGGUGAGGGAUGAAAGCUGGGGGAGCAAACCGGAUUAGAUACCCGGGUAGUCCCAGCUGUAAACGAUGCAGACUCGGUGAUGGGUUGGCUUUGCGCCAACCCAGUGCCGCAGGGAAGCCGUUAAGUCUGCCGCCUGGGGAGUACGGUCGCAAGACUGAAACUUAAAGGAAUUGGCGGGGGA